rnacentral:rRNA from 1 species
AGGACGAACGCUGGCGGCGUGCUUAACACAUGCAAGUCGAGCGAGGCCCUUCCUUCGGGAAGGUGCCCUAGCGGCGAACGGGUGAGUAACACGUGGGCAACCUGCCCCUAGCACUGGGAUAAGCCCGGGAAACCGGGUCUAAUACCGGAUAUGACCUUCGAGGGCAUCCUUGAAGGUGUAAAGGAUUCUGGCUAGGGAUGGGCCCGCGGCCUAUCAGCUUGUUGGUGGGGUAAUGGCCUACCAAGGCGACGACGGGUA